rnacentral:tRNA from 1 species
GGAGAGGUGACAGAGUGGUCGAAUGUACCAGUUUCGAAAACUGGCGUACCCGAAAGGGUACCGGGAGUUCGAAUCUCCCCCUCUCCG